rnacentral:rRNA from 1 species
UUCCGGUUGAUCCUGCCGGACCUUACUGCUAUCGGGAUGAGACUAAGCCAUGCAAGUCGAGCGCUCUCAAGCUAUGUUGAGAGCGCGGCGAACGGCUCCGUAACACGUAGUUAACCUACCCUCGGGAUGGGGAUAACCCCGGGAAACUGGGAUUAAUACCCACUAGAUGAUUAUACCUGGAAUGGCUUAUCAUCGAAAGAGUCUGGAAACAAGCUUCCAGCGUCGCCCGAGGAUGGGACCGCGUCCGAUCAGGUUGUUGGCGGGGUAACGGCCCACCAAGCCUAUAACCGGUACGGGUCCUGAGAGGGGGAGCCCGGAGAUGGAAACUGAGAAAAGGUUCCAGGCCCUACGGGGUGCAGCAGGCGCGAAACCUCCACAAUGCGCGAAAGCGUGAUGGGGUUAUCCCGAGUGCCGUCCGAUGAGGAUGGCUUUUCAUCGGUGUAAGGAUCCGAUGGAAUAAAGGGGGGGCAAGACUGGUGUCAGCCGCCGCGGUAAUACCAGCCCCCUGAGUGGUAAGGACGAUUAUUUGGCCUAAAGCGUUCGUAGCCGGCUUAUCAAGUCUUUUGUUAAAUCCAACGAUUCAAUCGUUGGGCCGCAAAAGAUACUGUUAUGCUAGAGGACGGGAGAGGUCGACGGUAUUCCAGGGGUAGGGGUGAAAUCCUAUAAUCCUUGGAGGACCACCAGUGGCGAAGCGGUCGACUAGAACGUGCCUGACGGUGAGGGACGAAAGCUGGGGAGCGAACCGGAUUAGAUACUCGGGUAGUCCCAGCCGUAAACGAUGCGGCUAGUGUGGGCAGCCACGAGCUGCUCCAGUGCGCAGAGAAGUUAUUAGCCCGCCGCCUGGGAGUACGCUGCAGCUGAACUAAGAUGGCGGGACCCCAAGGGUGAGCUGCG